rnacentral:lncRNA from 1 species
UUCAUCAAGUUUAAUUUUACAGGCAUUAGCUCCUUCACCAAGAAACUUCUAUUUCAAAAAGACUGCCCGACUGCUGACAAAUACCUUUUGUUCUACAGUGAGAUAGAAGUAGUACCCUUUAAUUUUUUUUGGAUACCCUACGAAUAAGCAUCUAUCGGACUUCGAUCUAAGCUUAUCUAUUUUUAAAUAUUUGACAUAAGCUGGACACCCCCAGACCC